UAGGAUUUUCUUCUUCCUUGCCACCCCACUUUCCUCCCAAAUUCCUCCAUGAAUGGUCCUCCAUUUAAGCUUACAUUUAAGCUUAAUUUUCUUCACUUAAUCCAAAUAACUCUCUUAAAAACCACCCUAGAGCUUGUUAUUGCAACUUAAGAAGGAGAUUACAAGAAGAAAGAAGAAUUAAAGAUAGGGUUUUGAAGCUUUAACAAAAGUUGAAAAGAAUAUCGGGAAGGAACCCGAGGAACCGAGUCGAGGCUAAAGGACGACUCGUUUGAGAUACAGAGAUUAGAGGAGCAGCAGACUGAGCUGCUGAGGUGUGUGAAG